AUCUUAAAGUUAUGACUGCUGAAAGAGAUCAAUUAAAGAUUAGUCUUAACUCAAGGACUAAAGAGAGAGACCAGUUGCAGAAUAGUCUAAAUACCAGGAUCACUGCGAGAGACCAGUUACAGACCAGGCUUAGGUUCUAUGAGGAACCCUGUCUGGAUGGAUGGUGGAAGUUUGGCACCAGCUGUUAUUAUGUCUCCUCCAGGAUGGAAACAGCUGGGGGCAGUCAGAGAAAGUGCAGAACAAUGUGUGCUGCCUUGGUUAUUAUAAACAGCAGAGAAGAACAGCUAUUGGAUGGAAGGGGAACCAAAUAACUUGAAUGACAAGGUGGCUUGUG